ACACCGUUGGUGAAGUGGUUAUCAUGCUUGCCUUCCAUGUCCUCGAAGCUAUCAAUUUGCUUCAAGCAAGCGGCUCGGGUUCGAUUCCCGAACGGUGUA
rnacentral:tRNA from 1 species